rnacentral:rRNA from 1 species
UGGCUCAGAAUCAACGCUGGCGGCGUGCNUAACACAUGCAAGUCGAACGCGAAAGUCCCGCGGGGGAUGAGUAGAGUGGCAAACGGGUGAGUAACACGUGGGUGACCUGCCUUCGAGCGGGGGAUAACGUCCCGAAAGGGACGCUAAUACCGCAUGACAUCCUGCCUUUGAAGAGGUGGAGACCAAAGCUGGGGAUCGCAAGACCUAGCACUUGAAGAGGGGCCCGCGCCUGAUUAGCUAGUUGGUGGGGUAACGGCUCACCAAGGCAACGAUCAGUAUCCGGCCUGAGAGGGCGGACGGACACACUGGGGCUGAGACACGGCCCAGACUCCUACGGGAGGCAGCAGUGGGGAAUUGUUCGCAAUGGGCGCAAGCCUNANNANNCAACGCCGCGUGGAGGAUGAAGACCUUAGGAAANUAAACUCCCUUCGAUCGAGACGAAUGGCUUCCGGGUGAACAAUCCGGGANAAUG